UUUCACCAUGUUGGCCAGACUGGCGGAUCACCUGAGGUCAGGAGAUCGAGAUCAGCCUGGCCAACAUGGUGAAACCCCUUCUCUACUGAAAAUACAAAAAUUAGCCAGACGUGAUGGCACAUACCUGUAAUCCAAGCUGCCCAGGAGCUGAGGCCGGAGAAUCGCUUGAACCUGGGAGGUGGAGGUUGCAGUGAGCCGAGAUCAUGCCACUGCACUCCAGCCUGGGCAACAGAGCAAGACUCCAUCUCGAAAAAAAGGAAUUCCUCUUGGCAGAUAUUGAAGUUUAUUUGAAAAUUUAAUUCGUCCUUUUUUCAUUGUAAUAUUUCAUGGUUUACUAUUUCCUUUUAGUAUUCAUGAAAAUGGUAUUUUCUGGUUGAAUAAGGGUACUCUAGUUUUAUGUAGAUGAUUUCAGAAUGUGAAGGCUGGUUUGCCUGUCAGUCAUGGAAAUUCACUGGUAAAAUUGUUGAAUAUUUCUCUCUCCCAGUCUUAAAAGCCCACAGGCAAGAAUUAAUGCUUUCUUAACUAAGUUACUUUGAGUAUUAACAAGUAGCUUAUACUGAGGUGUGCUUCAAGGGAGCAUUAUAGGGCAGAAAACAAAUUAAAAUGAAAUGUUGUUGUUAUAGCCAUGCAUUGACCAUUAAAUGCAUUUUAAUAUCUCGGCAAAAUGAGAUUUGAAACUCAUUAGUUUAACUCUUAAAACAUAGUGUUGUUAAACAGUAUUUUUUGGGGGCGGGUGGAUAGCUUUUUGUUCUAUCUUGUACAGAAAACAGUAAUGGAAUCACUCAUGUUCAGAACCUUGUAAAUAUGUCUGUAAUAUUAAUGCUUCCCUUUAUUAAGACAAAUAUACAUUCAAAAAGGGAGAUUUUAUUUAGACACACAUUUUCUUUUCACCCUAAUCUAUUUAGAUUCAUACUUAUUGAGACGGGAAAAACUCGCUGUAAAAUAAUGCCAACCUAGAUAAU
rnacentral:lncRNA from 10 species